rnacentral:rRNA from 1 species
GACGAACGCUGGCGGCGUGCUUAACACAUGCGAGUCGAACGGAAAGGCCCUGCUUUUGUGGGGUGCUCGAGUGGCGAACGGGUGAGUAACACGUGAGUAACCUGCCCUUGACUUUGGGAUAACUUCAGGAAACUGGGGCUAAUACCGGAUAGGAGCUCCUGCUGCAUGGUGGGGGUUGGAAAGUUUCGGCGGGUGGGGAUGGACUCGCGGCUGAUCAGCUUGUAGGUGGGGUAGUGGCUUACCAAGGAUUUGACGGGUAGCCGGCCUGUGAGGGUGACCGGCUACACUGGGACAGAGGUACGACCCGUGCUGAUAUGGGAAGCAUCAGUGGGAAAUAUUGCACAAUGGGCAGAAGCAUGAUGCAGCAACGGCGCGUGCUGAAUAACGGCCUUCGGGUUGGAAACCGCUUUGGCCUGUAACGAAGCGUGUUUGACAGUAAUAAGUUAAGGAGCACCGGCUAACUACUG